AACGUAGGAGACAAACGUUAUCCGGAGUUACUGGGCGUAAAGGGCGUGUAGGUGGUUUCGUAAGUCUGGCGUGAAAUUUCCCGGCUUAACCGGGAGUGGUCGUCGGAUACUGCGGGACUAGAGGACGGUAGAGGCGUGUGGAAUUCCGGGUGUAGUGGUGAAAUGCGUAGAGAUCCGGAGGAACACCAGUGGCGAAGGCGACACGCUGGGCCGUACCUGACACUGAUGCGCGAAAGCAUGGGGAGCAAACAGG
rnacentral:rRNA from 1 species